rnacentral:rRNA from 1 species
AACUGGUGGCUGCAACUGUUUAGUAAAAACACAGCUCUGUGCAAAAUCGGAAGAUGACGUAUACGGUGUGACGCCUGCCCGGUGCCGGAAGGUUAAUUGAUGGGGUUAGACUUCAGUCGAAGCUCUUGAUCGAAGCCCCGUUAAACGGCGGCCGUAACUAUAACGGUCCUAAGGUAGCGAAAUUCCUUGUCGGGUAAGUUCCGACCUUCACGAAUGGCGUAAUGAUGGCCACGCUGUCUCCACCCGAGACUCAGUGAAAUUGAAAUCGCUGUGAAGAUGCAGUGUACCCGCGGCCAGACGGAAAGACCCCGUGAACCUUUACUACAGCUUGCCACUGAACAUUGACCCUACAUGUGUAGGAUAGGGGGGAGGCUUUGACGGACGUACGGCCGUAUGUGUGGAGCAUU